CCUACGGGUGGCAGCAGUGAGGAAUAUUGGUCAAUGGCCGGAAGGCUGAACCAGCCAAGUCGCGUGAGGGACGACUGCCCUAUGGGUUGUAAACCUCUUUUAUAAGGGAAGAAUAAAUGCUACGUGUAGCAUGAUGCCUGUACCUUAUGAAUAAGCAUCGCCUAACUCCGUGCCAGCAGCCGCGGUAAUACGGAGGAUGCGAGCGUUAUCCGGAUUUAUUGGGUUUAAAGGGUGCGCAGGCGGAGGCACAAGUCAGCGGUAAAAUCGCGGGGCUCAACCCCGCUCCGCCGUUGAAACUGUGUCCCUUGAGUGCGCGAAGGGUAGGCGGAAUGCGUGGUGUAGCGGUGAAAUGCAUAGAUAUCACGCAGAACUCCGAUCGCGAAGGCAGCCUACCGGCGCGCAACUGACGCUCAUGCACGAAAGCGUGGGUAUCGAACAGGAUUAGAUACCCUUGUAGUC
rnacentral:rRNA from 1 species